rnacentral:rRNA from 1 species
ACGGGAGGCAGCAGUAGGGAAUAUUCCGCAAUGGGCGAAAGCCUGACGGAGCAAUACCUCGUGAGUGAUGAAGGCUUUAGGGUCGUAAAGCUCAGUCAGCAGGGAAGAAGGGUUAUGGUUCGAAUAGGGCUAUAGCUUUGACGGUACCUGCAGAGGAAGCCACGGCUAAUUACGUGCCAGCGGCCGCGGUAAUACGUAAGUGGCAAGCGUUGUCCGGAUUUACUGGGCGUAAAGAACGCGUAGGCGGNUUUCUAAGUUGGGGGUGAAAUCCUGAGGCCCAACCUCAGGCCUGCCUCCAAAA